rnacentral:lncRNA from 1 species
CCUCUGCUUGACUUGAGAAUCCCCCAUCAGAACUCUACCAUCCUCGCCCUUGAUGCACCUAACUUGGUCAAGAUCUCGUGCCUUCCUUUCCCUUGCUUUAGCUAACCGGAAUAACUUCCUGUCCCCUCUUCUCUCCCCUAGUUCCUCGUACAUGCAACCAAACGCCGCGUUUUUAGCUUCCGUAACCGCCAACUUUGCUUCUUUCCUCGCUACCUUGUAGAUCUCCCUGUUCGCUCUUCGUUCUUCCUCGCUUGUGCUCCCUGCCAACUUAGCAAACGCAGCCUUCUUCACCUCCACCUUUCCUUCGACUACAUCAUUCCACCACCAGUCACCCUGAUGUCUGCCUGAAUAGCCCUUGGCCACCCCGAGCACGUUCCGUGCUACCUCCCUAACCAAGUUCGCCGUCUCUGACCACAUAGCGUCCGCUGCCCCAGAGCUUCACCAAGCUCCGCCCUCAGCUAACCUCCUCUCCAACUCAUGUGCUUUCUCCUUAUUCAAAACACCCCAUCUAAUCCGCGGUUAUCCCCUUGACCACAUAGCGUCCGCUGCCCCAGAACUUCGCCAAGCUCCGCCC